rnacentral:rRNA from 1 species
UACGUAGGGUGCAAGCGUUAAUCGGAAUUACUGGGCGUAAAGCGUGCGCAGGCGGUUGUGUAAGACAGAUGUGAAAUCCCCGGGCUCAACCUGGGAACUGCAUUUGUGACUGCACGGCUGGAGUGCGGCAGAGGGGGGAUGGAAUUCCGCGUGUAGCAGUGAAAUGCGUAGAUAUGCGGAGGAACACCGAUGGCGAAGGCAAUCCCCCUGGGCCUGCACUGACGCUCAUGCACGAAAGCGU